GACGAACGCUGGCGGCGUGCUUAACUCAUGCAAGUCGAACGGAAAGGCCCUGCUUGCAGGGUACUCGAGUGGCGAACGGGUGAGUAACACGUGGGUGAUCUGCCCUGCACUUCGGGAUAAGCCUGUGAAACUGGGUCUAAUACCGGAUAGGAGCCAUUUCAAUCGUCUUGGUUGUAAAGUUUUGUCGGUGUAGGAUGAGCUCGCGGCCUAUCGGCUUGUUGGUGGGGUAAUGGCCUACCAAGGCGGCGACGGGUAGCCGGCCUGAGAGGGUGGACGGCCACAUUGGGACUGGGAUACGGCCCAGACUCCUACGGGAGGCAGCAGUGGGGAAUAUUGCAAAAUGGGCGCAAGCCUGAUGCAGCGACGCCGCGUGGGGGAUGACGGCCUUCGGGUUGUAAACUCCUUUCGCUAGGGACGAAGCUUUUUGUGACGGUACCUAGAUAAGAAGCACCGGCUAACUACGUG
rnacentral:rRNA from 1 species